rnacentral:rRNA from 1 species
CGCAGCCGCGGUAAUUCCAGCUCCAAUAGCGUAUAUUAAAGUUGUUGCAGUUAAAAAGCUCGUAGUUGAAUUUCGGGAUUAGUGCGCCGGUCGUGCCUUCGGUAUGUACUGGUGUUACUGGUUCCUACCUUCUGACGAACCGUCAUGUCAUUAAUUUGGUGUGGCGGGGAAUCAGGACUGUUACUUUGAAAAAAUUAGAGUGUUUAAAGCAGGCUAACGCUUGAAUACAUUAGCAUGGAAUAAUGAAAUAGGACGUUCGAUCCUAUUUUGUUGGUUUCUAGGAUUGACGUAAUGAUUAAUAGGGAUAGUUGGGGGCAUUAGUAUUCAAUUGUCAGAGGUGAAAUUCUUGGAUUUAU